rnacentral:rRNA from 1 species
UACGAAGGGGGGCUAGCGUUGCUCGGAAUCACUGGGCGUAAAGGGUGCGUAGGCGGGGUUUUUAAGUCAGAGGUGAAAUCCUGGAGCUCAACUCCAGAACUGCCUUUGAUACUGAAAGUCUUGAGUAUGGGAGAGGUGAGUGGAACUGCGAGUGUAGAGGUGAAAUUCGUAGAUAUUCGCAAGAACACCAGUGGCGAAGGCGGCUCACUGGCCCAUAACUGACGCUGAGGCACGAAAGCGUGGGGAGCAAACAGG